AACGCUGGCGGCGUGCCUAAUACAUGCAAGUCGAGCGAACAGACGAGGAGCUUGCUCCUCUGACGUUAGCGGCGGACGGGUGAGUAACACGUGGAUAACCUACCUAUAAGACUGGGAUAACUUCGGGAAACCGGAGCUAAUACCGGAUAAUAUAUUGAACCGCAUGGUUCAAUAGUGAAAGACGGUUUUGCUGUCACUUAUAGAUGGAUCCGCGCCGCAUUAGCUAGUUGGUAAGGUAACGGCUUACCAAGGCAACGAUGCGUAGCCGACCUGAGAGGGUGAUCGGCCACACUGGAACUGAGACACGGUCCAGACUCCUACGGGAGGCAGCAGUAGGGAAUCUUCCGCAAUGGGCGAAAGCCUGACGGAGCAACGCCGCGUGAGUGAUGAAGGUCUUCGGAUCGUAAAACUCUGUUAUUAGGGAAGAACAAAUGUGUAAGUAACUAUGCACGUCUUGACGGUACCUAAUCAGAAAGCCACGGCUAACUACGUGCCAGCAGCCGCGGUAAUACGUAGGUGGCAAGCGUUAUCCGGAAUUAUUGGGCGUAAAGCGCGCGUAGGCGGUUUUUUAAGUCUGAUGUGAAAGCCCACGGCUCAACCGUGGAGGGUCAUUGGAAACUGGAAAACUUGAGUGCAGAAGAGGAAAGUGGAAUUCCAUGUGUAGCGGUGAAAUGCGCAGAGAUAUGGAGGAACACCAGUGGCGAAGGCGACUUUCUGGUCUGUAACUGACGCUGAUGUGCGAAAGCGUGGGGAUCAAACAGGAUUAGAUACCCUGGUAGUCCACGCCGUAAACGAUGAGUGCUAAGUGUUAGGGGGUUUCCGCCCCUUAGUGCUGCAGCUAACGCAUUAAGCACUCCGCCUGGGGAGUACGAC
rnacentral:rRNA from 1 species